rnacentral:rRNA from 1 species
GAUUAUGGCUCAGGAUGAACGCUAGCGACAGGCUUAACACAUGCAAGUCGAGGGGCAGCAUAAAAGUAGCAAUACUUGGUGGCGACCGGCGCACGGGUGAGUAACGCGUAUGCAACCUACCUAUCAGAGGGGAAUAACCCGGCGAAAGUCGGACUAAUACCGCAUAAAACAGGGGCACCGCAUGGUGAUAUUUGUUAAAGAAAUUCGCUGAUAGAUGGGCAUGCGUUCCAUUAGGUAGUUGGUGAGGUAACGGCUCACCAAGCCGACGAUGGAUAGGGGAACUGAGAGGUUGGUCCCCCACACUGGUACUGAGACACGGACCAGACUCCUACGGGAGGCAGCAGUGAGGAAUAUUGGUCAAUGGGCGGGAGCCUGAACCAGCCAAGUCGCGUGAAAGGAAGAAGGAUCUAUGGUUCGUAAACUUCUUUUGCAGGGGAAUAAAGUGCAGGACGUGUCCUGUUUUGUAUGUACCCUGAGAAUAAGGAUCGGCUAACUCCGUGCCAGCCGCAGC